rnacentral:rRNA from 1 species
AUUGAACGCUGGCGGCAGGCCUAACACAUGCGAGUCGAACGGUAACAGGAAGCAGCUUGCUGCUUUGCUGACGAGUGGCGGACGGGUGAGUAAUGUCUGGGAAACUGCCCGAUGGAGGGGGAUAACUACUGGAAACGGUAGCUAAUACCGCAUAACGUCGCAAGACCAAAGAGGGGGACCUUAGGGCCUCUUGCCAUCGGAUGUGCCCAGAUGGGAUUAGCUAGUAGGUGGGGUAACGGCCCACCUAGGCGACGAUCCCUAGCUGGUCUGAGAGGAUGACCAGCCACACUGGAACUGAGACACGGUCCAGACUCCUACGGGAGGCAGCAGUGGGGAAUAUUGCACAAUGGGCGCAAGCCUGAUGCAGCCAUGCCGCGUGUAUGAAGAAGGCCUUCGGGUUGUAAAGUACUUUCAGCGGGGAGGAAGGGAGUAAAGUUAAUACCUUUGCUCAUUGACGUUACCCGCAGAAGAAGCACCGGCUAACUCCGUG